GGAGAGGUGGCUGAGUGGUCGAAAGCGGCAGAUUGCUAAUCUGUUGACGGAACUAGAUUCCGUCCGAGGGUUCAAAUCCCUCUCUCUCCG
rnacentral:tRNA from 5 species